rnacentral:rRNA from 1 species
UACAGAGACUGCAAGCGUUAUUCGGAUUCACUGGGCGUAAAGGGUGCGCAGGCGGCCGUGUGUGUGAGGCGUGAAAGCCCGGGGCUUAACCCCGGAAUUGCACCUCAAACUACAUGGCUAGAGCAUUGGAGGGGGUAGCGGAAUUCACGGUGUAGCAGUGAAAUGCGUAGAUAUCGUGAGGAACACCAGAGGCGAAGGCGGCUACCUGGACAAUUGCUGACGCUCAGGCACGAAAGCGUGGGGAGCAAAAGGG